AAUUAUAUAACACUGAGUUCUCUCAAGGAGUGGAGUAAAAUUCUCAUAAAAUCUCUAAUCAAAAGUUACAUGGUAUGAUCAAUUACUUGUAUAGAUACAAGUUUCUUUUUACAAAAUAUUAUUACAGACAACAUGCAAGAAUCGUCAAUUAAUAUGAUCAGAUACAUGA